rnacentral:rRNA from 1 species
GAUGAACGCUGGCGGCGUGCCUAAUACAUGCAAGUCGAGCGAAUGGAUUAAGAGCUUGCUCUUAUGAAGUUAGCGGCGGACGGGUGAGUAACACGUGGGUAACCUGCCCAUAAGACUGGGAUAACUCCGGGAAACCGGGGCUAAUACCGGAUAACAUUUUGAACCGCAUGGUUCGAAAUUGAAAGGCGGCUUCGGCUGUCACUUAUGGAUGGACCCGCGUCGCAUUAGCUAGUUGGUGAGGUAACGGCUCACCAAGGCAACGAUGCGGAGCCGACCUGGGAGGGUGAUCGGCGACACUGGGACUGAGACACGGCCCAGACACCUACGGGAGGCAGCAGUAGGGAAUCUUCCGCAAUGGACGAAAGUCUGACGGAGCAACGCCGCGUGAGUGAUGAAGGCUUUCGGGUCGUAAAACUCUGUUGUUAGGGAAGAACAAGUGCUAGUUGAAUAAGCUGGCACCUUGACGGUACCUAACCAGAAAGCCACGGCUAACUACGUGCCAGCCGCCGCAGUAA